AGUUAACGCCAGUCUUCUCUUGUAUAUAUUGAUCGCCUAUAUAUAUUUGUACGAGCCAUGUGUAAUUCCUGAAUGUGGCCUGAUUAGCGAGCACAAUUUCUCCAUAAAACAACAAUUUAAACGUUGGCGUAUUGGCUGGGACAUAUUUCCCCCCUUAUCAACAGGUAGUCUUAGAAUGGAAUUAUAUGUUACCUGAAGUUCGUAUAGAUACAUUAACCUACAACGAUGCAAACGGAGACACCAAAUACGGCCUUUAAUCAAGGUACGACAGAAUGUCCAGAAACUGAAGACGUAGAACGCACAGACAAUGUACCAGUGUUGUCGUGGGAGAACGGUGUAUGGGAUGGAAGGAAUACGAGUGUUAAAAAGGCGCCAUUUUAUCCCAAAAGUCGUUUUUUCUCUAAACGAACUUUAUCACGAUGUAGUCAUGGUUCUACGUUAUUAUUAGGUAUUAUACUAACCUGUGUUGCUCUAGGCUUAAUUGUAGCGGGGUCACUGAGGUUACACGAAUGUCGGCAGAUAACUACAUUUACUAUUCAACAUCCGGUGCAUGAAGGUAUCCAGAAAGAAAUCGGUGAUGAAUUUUUUACUGUUGAUCAGUUGGUGAAACUGAAUAAUUACGCCUUUAAUAAACCUGCCAAACAAUCGUCCACGGACAGAACGAGUGAUUUCCUACCGGAAGUAGAUGGUGAUGCUAGUCUCGCAGUCGACGGAAGUUUAGACACUUGUUCAAGAACUGGUAAGAAUUGAUUAU